rnacentral:tRNA from 1 species
GGUGGCUCAGUGGUAGAGUGCUUGCCUUGCAUGCAUGAGGCCCUAGGUUCGAAUCCUCAGCACCA